rnacentral:snRNA from 1 species
GCACUCACUUCAACAGAUCACACACUAAAACUGGAACCAUAUAGAGAGUAGUGUGGCCCCACACAAGGAUGACAUGCAAAUUCAUGAAGCAUUCCAUUAAAAA